rnacentral:rRNA from 1 species
GACGAACGCUGGCGGCGUGCCUAACACAUGCAAGUCGAACGGGGUAAAUUGCUUCGGUGAUUUACUUAGUGGCGAACGGGUGAGUAACGCGUGAGAAACCUGCCUUCCAGUGGGGGACAACAGUUGGAAACGGCUGCUAAUACCGCAUAAGCGCACAGGACCGCAUGGUCUGGUGUGAAAAACUCCGGUGGUAUACGAUGGACCCGCGUCUGAUUAGCUAGUUGGUGAGGUAACGGCCCACCAAGGCGACGAUCAGUAGCCGAACUGAGAGGUUGAUCGGCCACAUUGGGACUGAGACACGGCCCAGACUCCUACGGGAGGCAGCAGUGGGGGAUAUUGCGCAAUGGGGGAAACCCUGACGCAGCAACGCCGCGUGAAGGAAGAAGGCCUCGGUGUAACUUCUGUUCUUAGGAAGAAGACAGUGACGGUACCUAA